GAUGAACGCUGGCGGCGUGCCUAAUACAUGCAAGUCGAGCGUAGCGGAACCUAACAGAUUUACUUCGGUAAUGACGUUGGGAAAGCGAGCGGCGGAUGGGUGAGUAACACGUGGGGAACCUGCCCCUAAGUCGUGGGAUACCAUUUGGAAACAGGUGCUAAUACCGGAUAAGCGCACGUCAUCGCAUGAUGGUGUAGUGAAAAACUCCGGUGGUAUGAGAUGGACCCGCGUCUGAUUAGCUAGUUGGUAAGGUAACGGCUUACCAAGGCAACGAUCAGUAGCCGACCUGAGAGGGUGACCGGCCACAUUGGGACUGAGACACGGCCCAA
rnacentral:rRNA from 1 species